rnacentral:lncRNA from 1 species
UUUUUUAUUUUUUUAUUUUUUUUUGAGUGAGUGCAACCAACAGGAUUAUGCAAAUUUGGCGAAACAUCUUUGUGCUGACUGUGUGUUGCCCGUGAUUUUAAGCAAUACUAGUAGUCAUAAAUAUUAAAAAUAUUAAUUAAAUUAAAUAUUUUGUGAUCGGGCUUGUUUAAACAAAUUAAAUUGUAUUGUCUUAAUAAAUUUCAAUUGUCAUCUUAUUUGUCAAUGUGAUAUAUCCAAUAAUAAAAUCGCUAUUAAAUUAAAGGGACUUAUAUAGUCAUUAAAUAACUUUUUUUGUUCUAUAUUUUUUUUUAUUAUAUUACCCAAUACUUAGUAUUUUUACAUUGUUAAUAGAAAUUUUUAUUAGCAUAUUACUUUGUUUAACAUUUUUGUCUGCUCGUUUUCUUUUUGUUAUAUAAGAGAAUAUAUAUAUAUAUAUAUAUAUAUAUAUAUUUUAUUAUUCUUAAAAUAUUUCUUUUAUUAGCAUAUUACUUUGUUUAACAUUUUUGUCUGCUCGUUUUCUUUUUGUUAUAUAAGAGAAUAUAUAUAUAUAUAUAUUAUUAUUACUCUUGAAAUAUUUUUUUAUUUUAAAUUUUCUGUGUGACUUGAUUUGCUUUGUUUGAGAAAUUCCCGAUGAAAUCCAUCGAUAAAUGCUACCGACGAAUCGUCUAUUUGGCCGAGCUUCUAAAAGUAGGAAGAGUGGGAACUACCAUGCACGUGACAUGGUGUCCAAUCACCAAUCGAUCGACUAGGUCGUCUCCCCACAUAUGUCAUGUGAGUCGACAUCAAAUCCAAGGCCAACAAUAAUCUCAUCCCAAUCAAGGGGCAUAAUCUCGACACAUUAAUGUCAUCCCAGUUAAGGGAAAUAAUCUCAAUUUACUCCUACACCGACACGUGUAGUUUCAGGUGUGGGCCGUUACUACCCACCCUUCCUCGGCUCGCUAAUGAUACUCCUAAAAAUAUUUUGUUUUGCACACAAAGAAAAUAGAAAUACAAACACAUUCAUCUCGUAACUUUCAUAUCAUAUAUAGCACCAUUGGUACUUUCGACCACUCACCACAUCAUUACUUCCUUGGCUCUCUUGGCCAUAUAUCGAGUUCUUCAUUCAUGGCACGUUGGCCGUAUUUCAUAUUUCACACUUUCAUUUCUUUACUUUCAAACUAUAGAGUAUUCCGGAAAUCACAAGAUUAAAUUCAUUAGUAAUGAAGACUUUAAGCACAAUGGAUUUCUUUCCAAAGAAUGGUGCACAAUGACUGGGAAUUGAAGUAGAAGUUAAAAUCAUAAACGAGUAAUACACCAUUUCUUUUGAAAUACUUCUCUAAAAAGACAAUGCACAGUUUCAUUUCAUGGGUAAAUAAGAACUCAACCCACAUUGGAAAUACUUACAAAUGAGAGCAUGGUGAUUGAUGAUUGAAACAUAGAUUCAAAUCAUAUGCACUAUUCAUAACAACCAUGGCCACAUUUUUAUAUCUCACUCUUACUUCUUUCACUUCCAAAUAUCAUCAUGGAUUAUCAACAAUAGGGGCAUUUGGAAUCAAGACUUUAAAUAUGUAUAUAAGCAAUAUGAGUCUUAAGCACGUUGAGUUUUCUUUCCAAAUUAAGCUUAAUGAACUUUCAAUUUGAACACGAAUUGGAGUCGUAACAUUUAAUGCAUAAACCAUACUUGAACACAUUCUCAAAAGAGAUCAUGAUAAGAUAGGAGCAAUUGGAACACAUUUUGAGUAUAUACAAAUUUCAACAUAAUGCUUAUUUAGGAUAAUCGAAUUUAUUAGGAAUAACUUCGGAACAUGAGAAUUAGGAACCUGGGCCAACCAUACUUGAAACUUACGGGAACAUCAGGAAUUUGAUUCUUACAGAGCAAUUUAGCCAACCUACCUUUUUGUGCUUUUCAUAGAUUACUACAAUGUCUCAAUACUCCUAACAACCUUAAUCUAUAGAAACAUAACCAAAUUUAACUAUACUUAGGAAUGUGUUCUUAGAUUUAGCCUAUUUUGACAUUUCAUCAAACACCUAAUAUGCGAAAUCAAUUACAAGGUCUCGUAAUAGAAAUUCUCUACCCUCACCAUGAAUUUUCAAGCAGCCAACCAUUAUACAAUAUCCCUACAACUCCCAUCAACCAUCAGUAAUCACAUGCAUGCCUAACCAUUUGCUUCAGACACAUCAAAAUCACAUUUCCUAGUCUUCACAUACUCCCAAAUUCAAGAUUGAGAGCUUAAGGAUUUCGGUCACCAUCCCAUAGUCCCUACCAUGAUAGCAUCCUACUUAAACCCAUUAUUAAACUUUGCAUAAAAUUUAGGGAUGAAGUCUUACCUUGUAAUUAUAAGGCCUUGUGAGUUUCCCUCUUUAAUUCCUAAGGUUUGUGCAAGAAUUCGAGAGUACAAUUUGAUAGAGCUUCUUGCUCUCUCUCUAAACUGAUACCCUCACUCUAAAGAAUCAAGUUAUAUCUUAUAAAAUGAACCCCUAAAGCCUUAUAUCAAAAUAGGGCCAGAUAAGAAAUUUUUUAAAAAUAACCCCGAUGUCAAUUCUGUGGUGCAAUUCUGUGGUAGUAAAACAGAUAUAUGGCUAGCAGAAUGGCCAUAAAUGGUAUGUCAAUUUCGCGAUAGCAGAAUGGUUAUGCGGCCAACAAAAUAGCCACAAAAUGGUUUUCAAAUUCUAAGUUGGAUCUGGUCAAUUUCUCGAUGCAAUUUUGCGGCAGCAUAAUGGUUAUGCGGCCAGCUGAAUGGCCACAAAAUGAUUUUCAAAUUUGAGUUGCUUCUGAUUCAUUCCAUGAUUAUUCCGUGGUCAGCAAAAUAGAUCCGCUAUAGCAUAAUGGACCAUAGAAUUGUCGUUUUCUACAAAUUUCUCUACCAACUUCACGAUGCAUUGCACAAUCCAAAAAUCUGUGUUGUGACAUAUUAACUUACCUUUGCACCAUAGAAACAUAAAAUUCUUGGUGAACUUUUACGGGGCUUUAUAAAAAUCCGGAUAAUUUUCAUCAUUUACAUGGAUCCUAUGCAUGUAACUCGGAGGGAAACCUAUAGAAAUAAGUAAAAAGAAAAAUAGAUACCAUUUACCAAUAAUUAGUCAUUAAGUUAUGUUAUAAAAAUUAGCAGAAAAAAUUCAAUGACAUACAAUAUUGGAAAAAACCUGGACAAAAGUAAAGUUGUACCAUGAUGCCAAAUAUAGCAUCUUCCACGACCUUUAUGAGCAACAACAUAAGCAUUGUUCACUAUGUGAAACAUGCAUCUUACAUGUAUAUCAUACACAAAUAUAUAUGAAUAUAUAGGGGAUAUAUGGGAUACACAUUUGCUAUAUAUUGGAUACACAAAUGAUGCACAAGAGAUAUAUAGGGCAUAUAUAUUUCAUUUUCUACUUCAAAUUUUUAAUUACCCACCUCAAAUGUCCACCAAAUCGCCCCAAAAUUAAGAUUCAAAAUUCGUAAUUUAUACUAAAUCUAUUUCAAAUUUCCAACAAUACCCACUUGAGUUCGUCCAAAAAUACAUAUAUUUACCCAUUGUUAUCUCAUAUUCUAGUACUUUUAAUCAUCUUUUGAGUAUUAAUUACAUCACUUUGUGCUUAAUAUUAUAUUUUAACUGUGUAGAAAAAAGCAGUAUGAAGAUGAAGAUAUUUGGAACAAAAUUGAACAAAACGCAGAAGAAAAAGAAAGAAAGAAAAAAAGAAUUAAAAAAAAUGGGGAUACCCUUUGGAUUUUGUCCCCCCAAAUGCAAGACAAGGAAACAAAGGAAAUAUAUGUAAAGCAAAGAAUUAAGCAAGGCAAAAAAACGUACCAAAAGAAUGGGAGACAACAAAGCUCACUGGAUCUAACGCCAGGGCCAGCACGAGGCGCUGUCAUGGACGCUGGCGAGGACUUUUCCUAUUUCGUCCGGGACAAGAUUAUUUCUGUCCUAUACGGCCCCAACUCGUAUAAAAAGGGCCUUAAACUUAAUUUGGAGGAUAUCUGACAGACUUUGAAGGAGAAUUCACGUGGGGAACACACACCACGCUUAGAGGAGGCUUCGAACUAGGUUUACUUCUCUUCUUUUCCUUUACUUCAUAGUUUAUUAAUUCUAGAGUUGUUGGUUGCUACAUGAAUGUUGUGUUUUGAAACUUGAAUGCUCUUAUUAUUUUAUCAUAUUGGUUUAUUUAUUCAAUCUUGCGCUUAAUUAUUUGAUUGUUUGAUCACCAAUUGAAUACUAUCUAUGAAUCUAGAAUUAAACUCGGGAAAGGGAAUUUUAGAUUGCUUAUAAGUUGAAUAGAGCAAGAUAUAGCGGUUAGGAUAGAGAAAUACCAAAUCGCCUUACUUGGUUACCAUACAGGAAUUAUAAAUGCGUUCUUGUUAAUCCUAAUUCCAUAGGAAUAUAGGCGUUAGGUUAGCUUGAAUUGGCGAGUAAUACUUCAGGAAAAGGCUACGCCCAAUAUUAACCCUGUCAAUCAAUAAACCAGAUAAAUUAAUUAGACGAUUUAAGUGGAAAACUCAACGGGAUUGUUAGCUAACCCAUAACUCUGGAAUAUUUUCUCCCCUUGAUUUCCUCUCUAAUCUCGCCAAAUUAUUUUCUUUAAUCUCUUAUUUUGUUACUCUAGAUUAGUUUAGUUAAAUAUUCAUACUUUAGCAAAUCGAUUGAAUAAAUUAAUUGUUUGGGUUUAAUUUAGUUGAUAGUUAAUUACAAGUCCCUGUGGGUAUGAUAUCUGGACUUAUAAUCCUAUAUUACUUGUCGACCAUGUAUACUUGCGUGUGCAUUUGGGAGCAACAAGUUUUUGGCAUCGUUGCCGGGGGCUUAAAAAUGAACUAUUCUACUAGAUUAGAUUUUUACUUUUUGUCUAUUAAGUUUAAAUUUUAGCUUAGUUUAAUAUUUUAUUAUCUUUGUUUACAUGGCAUCUUGGAAUGAGAAUUGGUCGAGUAUUAGUUAUUUUUAUUUUGGUGAUCUAUGUCCAUAUUGUGGAGGACCACACUUGUGGCAAAAUUGUAAAUCUCAAUCUUAUGUGUGAAAUUUUUGUAAUGUGUGUGGUUGUCAAGGUGGCCAUUAGGAUGGUUUUCCUAAUUCUUAUUAUCCUUCUCAGAGCUCUUAAUGUUUCUAAUAACGUUUAUGAGUUUGAUAGGAUCAAGGAAGUGGAGGAUAUGAAAAGCGUGGCUCGUAUUAUGGACAUGAUGAGGCAAGUAGCCGAGCAACAUGACAUGAUGAUAAGGAAAGUAGCUGAGCAACAAGAUGAAAAUCAAAAGGCUAUACAAAAAAUUAGUGCACCAAUCAUGAGAAUGAAAGCAGAGGCAGAAGAAGUGGCUAAAGAGAGAAAGUUCCCACAAGAAGAUAAUUUAGAAGAAGUAGAUAUAGUGAGCCAAUCUUGGCUAGAGGAACAAGCUCAACUGAUAAAAUCUCAUGAGUUUCUUCGUGAUGGUCUUUCAAAUAUGACAGAACAACUAUUAUAGGGAAGAACUGAGCUCAAGCAAGAAAUAGACUAAUUUGGCUCAGAUAUCCAUGACCUUUAGGCUAAAUUGAAUAAAAAGGUUGAGGCGCCUGAUGCCCUACAACCAAUUUUUGUGGAUACUGGCCAGCUUGUGAAGCGGAAAGAGGAAUUCCAACCAUUUGAUCAAAAUAUUGUUAAUGAUGCCAAGGUUAAGGAAGUGUGCAAAAAUGAGGAUGUUAAAAGUAAAGGAGUUUUAGAGUUGGAGCGUAUUGGACCUCAUUCUGACCAUCUUUCAACAUUGUGUUUGGUUGGUGACAUGAGAAUUGAUCCACCCGGGCAUAUGGAGGAGUCAAUGAAUGAGGAACAAAAUACAUAUAUUCUGAAAUUUGCGAUGUCAAGGAGACAAAACGACAUCCGUCACUUAAAGGCCAAGAUGUGCAAGAUGCGACAUUGUUUACUUGGUUAUUUUGUAUUUACACCACCGCCCUAGGAACGUGAUAGAAAAUUUAAUAUAAAUUUGGGGGGCGCAAUUUAUAUCCUCAAAGUGGAAGAAAAAGUGGUGAAAGUGAUAGCUUCGUACCACGACUAUAAAUAAGGCACUUGUUGGGAGGCAACCCAAUUCAUUAUUUCUUUUUAUUUUGUUUUAUUUUAUUAAUUGUGUAUUUUUUUGUAGUGUUAUUUUUGUAUUUUGUAGGAGUAGGAACAUGGAGUCAAAGCCAGUAGGCGUGUGCAAAAGCGAGCAGGUGGCUGAAACUAAGUGUGAGGUACCCGCACAAGGGAUUAUAUCUGGGAGAAGUCUGAGCAUCCUGUGAGCUGCUAAUGCUUUAGCCUUUAGUCUACCAGGGAUCUCUUUUACCCUCUUGUUAUUUUUAGUGUGCAUUGAGGAUAUUGCACAAUUUUAAGUGUGGGGUGAAGAGAUUGUCUGGAUAAUUUUUUGUGUUAUCUUAGCUUAGUUGUAGUACCCGUUCCUAGUGUAGUAUUUUUAUUAAAAAUAAAAUAGAAAAAAACAAAAAAAAACAAAAAAAAAGAAAAAAAUUCAGAAAAUUAGGACUUUUCCUGAUGAUGGAUUUUGUGGACAGCUUUCUUGAGGGAUUAAGGUCCAAUUUAAAAAAUACCAAAAAGAUUUUUCUUUUCUUUUCUAGUUAGUGUUAGGUAGGUAAUAAUCCCCCUUGAUUUUUCUUUUUGCAUCGGUUCUUUUUCAGGGGAUGUAACUUGAACCGGGUAAACUUUUUAUUUUUAGGAUUAUAUUUUUUUAGGAGUAAUAAAAGAGAGAGAGAAGAAAAACCUUUUAUGACUUGUUUGAUACUAGCAUAUUUAGGCCUGAACUUGAGUAGUACUUUCCUCUGAAAGCUUGAAUAAUGAAUAAAAUAGUAGACUUUCUGACACCUAAGCUCAGGGUCGUGACUCUCUAUAUAACUUAUUUUUAUUUUGUUGUUUGCAAUGAUCAUGCCUGUCUUAGAGUAGAAAUUGAUCCAUCUUGAUUGAUACUUGUGCCAUGUGGGUUGAUGAUUUCUUAAAAUAUAUUCCAUGUUUUGCAUCUUAGUCUAGAACUUGCCCUGCAUGUUAUUGAAUCAAAAUAAAAGUGUAGCUCUGUUUAGAAGAUGAUAAUAGGCUUUCUUUGAUAUGUCAUGUGAAUUUUAGCCUUUUGAUAUAUUGUACCACUAGAUAGCCCUUUGAGUUUAUAGCUGUUUAUUAGCAGUCCUAUUUUUGCCUUGAUUCUUUUGUUGAAUCCCUAGUUUUUGCACCAUGCUUCCUGGAGCAUUAUUACUUAAACUGUAAUAUUAAUUGAUAAAUUUGGAGAAAGGGAUGAUUAAAUAAAAAAUGAUGGACAACGAUAGUUGCAAAGUAAUGAAAAGGCCCUCUUGAAAAUAAUGUGAUAUGAAAAAAAAAAUGGACAAACAAAAAAAAUGCUUUGAGAAAAAAAAUAAAUAGCCUUGAUAUGAGGGAAAUACUUUUGAAAUAAUUGAUGAAGAGACGGCUGAAAAAUAAAGUUAAGAGCUGAAAAUAAUGGGUGAAGAAAUCUAAAAAUGCAAAGUGCUUAGGGAAGUGUAAGUCACUAUUAUAUAAUUCUCCUACCCGUCCCCUAGACAAUAUUACAACCCGUUAAAAUAAUAUUUGAUUCUAUUCGAGUAUGCUUAAUUAAUAGAGAUGUACGUAAUGGGCAAGCCUAUGGUUCUUUGUGCAUACAUGUGAAUUCGUUUGUGAGUGUGAAAGUUGUUCUUUGAUGCUAAGUCCUUAAAUUAUAUUCAUUCUUUGGUUUUAGUGUAUGAACUAUUUAUUCUUGUGAGAGCACUUGUUUCAUGAUAGAUAGGUGAUGUUAUUAGCUUCUUUGACAGAGUAGGUGAGCUAGCUUGAAUUUGGUAAAUUAGAGUCCGACUGUGAGGUUAGGAGGUUAGAAGUUUGUUGUUUGUUCGUGACUUGUAUAUCUUGCACGAUGAUGAGGAAGUGUAUAUCUGAUGCUUUGAGUUUCUAUAGGGCCUAAUUGUUAGUAUCAAACGAAGUGGUGGUGUUUCUAGGCUUAAUUCAUUGAGAGUUGUUUUAAUGCUUACUCGAGGACGAGUAAGAGUCUAAGUGUGGGGUGUUGAUGUUCGGCCAAAAAUGCAUAUAUUUACCCAUUAUUAUCUCAUAUUCUAGUACUUUUAAUCAUUUUUUAAGUAUUAAUUAUAUCACUUUGUGCUUAAUAUUAUAUUUUAGCUGUGUAAGAAUAAAGCAGUGUGAAGAUAAAAAAUUUGGAUUAAAAUUGAAUAAAAUGCGAAAGAAAAAAAAUAUAAAAAAAGGGGACACCCUUUGGAUUUUGUCCCCCAAAUGCAAGACAAAGAAACAAAGGAAAUAUAUGCAAAGCAAAGAAUUAAACAAGGCAAACAAAAGUACCUAAAGGAUUGGAGACGGCAAAGCUCACUGGAUCUAACUCCAGGACCAGCGUGAGGCGCUGUCCUGGCCGCUUGAGGCGAGGACUUUUCUUAUUUCGUCGGGACAAGAUUAUUUCGGUCCUAUACGGCCCCAACUCGUAUAAAAGGGGCCCUAAACUUAAUUUGGAGAAUAUCUAACAUACUUUGAAGGAGAAUUUACGUGGGGGAACAUACACCAAUGCUUGGAGAAGGCUUCUAACUAGUUUUUCUUCUCUUCUCUUCCUUUAAUUCAUAGUUUAUUUGUUCUAGAAUUGUUGGGUGCAACAUGAACGCUGUGUUUUGAAACUUGAAUUGCUCUUAUUAUUUUAUCAUGUUGGUUUAUUUAUUCUAUCUUACGCUUAAUUAUUUGAUUGUUGAUCACCAAUUGAUACUAUCCGCAAAUCUAGGAUUGAAAGGGAAUAUUAGAUUGCAUAUAAGAUUGAAUAGAGCAAGAUAUUGAACUCGAGUAUCGGGAACGAAUUUGCGAUUAGGAUAAGGAUAUACCUAAUCACCAUGCUUGAUUACUAUACGGGAAUUAUAAAUGUGUUCUUGUUAAUCCUAAUUCCAUAGGAAUAUAGGCAUUAGGUUAGCUUGAAUAGGUGAGUAGUACUUCGGGAGAAAGCUACGCGCAAUAUUAACCCUAUCAAUCAAUAAACCAGAUAAAUUAAUUGGACGAUUUAAGUGGAAACCUCAACGGAAUUGUUAGCUAACCCAUAGCUCUGGAAUAUUUUCUCCCCUUGAUUUUGUCUCUAAUCUCGCCAAAUUAUUUUCUUUAAUCUCUUAUUUUUUUACUCUAGAUUAGUUUAGUUAAAUAUUCAUACUUUAGCAAAUCGCUUGAAUAGAUGAAUUGUUUGGGUUUAAUUUAGUUGAUUGUUAAUCACAGGUCCCUGUAGGUACGAUAUCUGGACUUAUAAUCAUAUAUUACUUGUCAACCACAUAUACUUGUGUGUGCUUUUGGGAGCAACACCACUCGAACAAAUUUCAAAUUCCGAAAACAAAAUACUCCCUCUAAUGCACAAGAAAAUAAAGUACCAUGGCAGUGAUGGCACUAUAUGGAAAGACAGGGAUGCAAUGCAUGGCAAUCUCUCUAGCAAACAAAGUUUCUAAAAUUGAAAAAAAAAUGUGAAUUUUGAUCUUUUGCAGAAGCCUAAUUAGACUUAACGUUUCACACUGAUUGAGCUAAAGAAGACUAAUUAGAUUUAACUGUAGCUGCUAGAGAAGUUAAUAAUCAACUAAAAACAAAAGUGCACAUUGUAAAUGAAAGAAAUGCAACAAAAGCAUCACUAACUAAAACAAACUAGUGCUCCAUUUCUUAUUAAACAGGCAGUGGAAAAGCUCCACUGCCAUAUUACAGAUUACAGGCAAGACAGAGCAUAUUGUCAUGCCUUUGUUUCAUACAUAGACUACAUAUUAUUCGUUAGGACUUAGGAAACAGCAACCUUAGACUUCUGGAGAUCAUUCUCAACUUCACGAACAUAUUCAUCCACUUUGCUGGCAUAUUCAGAUUCUCCUUCACAAAUAAAAGUUCCAUCAUCACUAAAGUACUUACAGCCCUUUUUACCUGCGCAACAAUUGGUGCAUAUCCGAUCAUUCUUCUUUUCUUCUGAAAGUGGGCAAAUCCCAUAGGCAAUUCUUCCAUCACAAUUCCGAGGACAGGCUUUUGGAUUUCUAGGAUCAGACUCUCCUUCACAAACAAAAGUUCCAUCAUCACUAAAGUACUUACAACCCUUUUUGCCUGCACAACAGUUAGUACAUANNNNNNNNNNNNNNNNNNNNNNNNNNNNNNNNNNNNNNNNNNNNNNNNNNNNNNNNNNNNNNNNNNNNNNNNNNNNNNNNUUNNUGCCUGCGCAACAGUUGGUGCAUAUCCGAUCAUUCUUUUUUUCUUCUGAAAGUGGGCAAAUCCCAUAGGCAAUUCUUGGAUCGCAAUUCCGAGGACAAGCCUUCGGAUUUCUAGGAUCAGACUCUCCUUCACAAACAAAAGUUCCAUCAUCACUAAAGUACUUACAUCCCUUCGUGCCUGCGCAACAGUUGGUGCAUAUCCGAUCAUUCUUCUUUUCUUCUGAACGCGGGCAAACUCCAUAGGCAAUUCUUGGAUCACAAUUUAAGGGACAAGCCUUGGCAUCUGCAUGUUCCACAUUGCUUACAAGCAGAGACAUUCCUAUAACAUAGCCACAUUAAUUACCUUAUGAGUGUUGAACAAUGGAUUCAAGUAAUUGGUUAAGAGAGAAACUUAAAGAAAGGGAAAUACAUAAAAUCCUCCUUAAAUUACGUAGAAGUCUUAUUAUCCUCGUGAACUCGUUUGAAGUGAUAUUAUUACCUCCAUAUAACGCCCAGACAGUGGCAAAUUCAGAUGGGAGAAAUUCAAAAAUAGUUAGAUUUACAGGUGGUCAUUCAAAAAUAAUCAUAAUUUCAAAAGUAAUCGAAAUUUAGUCAUUUUUCAUGUAAAGAUAAAUAUGAACGGAAACACUGUUCAAAAUCAAAAAAUAAGUCCAGUAUAAUAUACUGGAAUUCAAGUAUAAUAUAGUGAAACUCCAGUAUAUUCUAGCACAAGUAUACUGGAAUUCCAGUAUAAUAUACUAGAGAUCCAGUAUAAUUACC